rnacentral:rRNA from 1 species
GACGAACGCUGGCGGCGUGCUUAACACAUGCAGGUCGAACGGAAAGGCCCUGCUUUUGUGGGGUGCUCGAUUGGCGAACGGGUGAGUAACACGUGAGUAACCUGCCCUUGAAUUUGGGAUAACUUCAGGAAACUGGGGCUAAUACCGGAUAGGAGCUCCUGCUGCAUGGUGGGGGUUGGAGAGUUUCGGCGGUUGGGGAUGGACUCGCGGCUUAUCCGCUUGUUGGUGGGGUAGUGGCUUACCAAGGCUUUGACGGGUAGCCGGCCUGAGAGGGUUACCGGCCACAGUGGGACUGAGAGACGGCCCAGACUCCUACGGGAGGCAGCAGGGGGGAAUAUUGCACAAUGGGCGGAAGCCUGAUGCAGCAACGUCGCGAUCGGGAUGACGGCCUACUGGUUGUAAACCGCUUUCGCCUGUGACGAAGCGUGAGUGACGGUAAUUGGUAAAGAAGCACCGGCUAACUACGUG